rnacentral:rRNA from 1 species
UACGUAGGUGUCAAGCGUUGUCCGGAUUUAUUGGGCGUAAAGCGCCCGCAGGCGGCUUGCCAAGUUCGAUGUGAAAUCUCCCGGCUCAACUGGGAGGUGCAUCGAAAACUGGCAGGCUUGAGGCAGGGAGAGGGAUGUGGAAUUCCAGGUGUAGUGGUGAAUGCGUAGAUAUCUGGAGGAACACCAGUGGCGAAGGCGGCAUCCUGGCCCUGUCCUGACGCUCAGGGGCGAAAGCGUGGGUAGCA